rnacentral:tRNA from 1 species
GCCUCCUUAGCUCAGUUGGUAGAGCAGCUGACUCUUAAUCAGCGGGUCGAAGGUUCGAGUCCUUCAGGAGGCACCA